UGCUGGAGGUAUCAGAAGUGCGAAUGCUGACAUAAGUAACGAUAAAGCGGGUGAAAAGCCCGCUCGCCGGAAGACCAAGGGUUCCUGUCCAACGUUAAUCGGGGCAGGGUGAGUCGACCCCUAAGGCGAGGCCGAAAGGCGUAGUCGAUGGGAAACGGGUUAAUAUUCCCGUACUUGGUGUUACUGCGAAGGGGGGACGGAGAAGGCUAUGUUGGCCGGGCGACGGUUGUCCCGGUUUAAGCGUGUAGGUGUG
rnacentral:rRNA from 1 species